rnacentral:rRNA from 1 species
UAAGGAAUAUUGGGCAAUGGACGCAAGUCUGACCCAGCCAUGCCGCGUGAAGGAUGACUGUCCUAUGGAUUGUAAACUUCUUUUAUGCAGGAAAAAUAGCCUGGUCGAGAACCGGGUUUGAUGGUACUGUAUGAAUAAGCAUCGGCUAACUCCGUGCCAGCAGCCGCGGUAAUACGGAGGAUGCAAGCGUUAUCCGGAUUCAUUGGGUUUAAAGGGUGCGCAGGCGGAAUUAUAAGUCAGUGGUGAAAUCUCCCAGCUUAACUGGGAAACUGCCAUUGAUACUGUUAUUCUUGAGUACAGUUGAAGUGGGCGGAAUGUGUCAUGUAGCGGUGAAAUGCUUAGAUAUGACACAGAACACCGAUAGCGAAGGCAGCUCACUAAGCUGUAACUGACGCUCAUG